rnacentral:lncRNA from 1 species
UAUAUAGUACUGUAGUAUAUCACAAACUUAAUGUGGUACAAUUGUAUAUAUCAAGCAUUUCUGAAUAUAGACUUACUAAUAAACUAAGCUAUCUGAGAUCCAUGCUGUACUGAACAUAUAGAUUAAUUAUGCAUUAUAAUGAUCUGAAGAAUGAAAAAAAAAUGUAUUGAAAAAUUAUGUAUAGAACAUAGGUAUGAUAGGAACAUCUAUAUAUAUAGAACCUAAUGUCUAUCAGUUCUGCAUAGGCUCCCACACUGUUUGGCCUAUUGGGACCAAACUUUAUAGGGUGACUUUUCGUGACCUUACAGAUAAUAUAGAUUACCCAAAAUCGAAAUUACCCCAGCAGAUGGGACACAUUGGGGUUGUUUGUUCUUUCUUUCUGUCUAUUCUGCAUAGAUUCCCACAUCAUUUGAUCUAUCAGAACCAAACUUUGUAGAGUAACAUCCCAUGACCCUGCACAUACGUAGGAUACUUUUUUGAUCACAUGUUAGCAUGUUUGUUUUCCUAUUUAUUAUGAACAUUUUUUAUUAAUUUAUUAUUAAAUAGUAUAGCAAUAUUAUUUCAAUUUUUUUUUUAAUGUUCGAACAGUGAUUUUCAAUUUAUAUGUCAUGAUUAUGUUUCAAGUGUGCCAUAGAAAAUGCAAAUUCUAAGUUUUAUAAUUUGCAUUUUCAAUUGUUUACAAAUGAAUAUCUUCUUCAUGUAUUUUAUUUUUAAUUUCAUAUACUUUAAGUGUGUUUGAAGAUUAAUAUUAAUUUUAAAAGCAUUUAAAAAAGUAAUAAAUUAUUAUAAGCAGGGCUGGGGAGCUGGAUUGAAAUAGGUUAGGCUCCAGCACCAGCUCCAGAGCUACAGUAUAUU